ACAACGUUCGGACCGUCGGUCUACCGAGCAAUAUUACCCGCUCGGUGGAAGAUCUUCCCUUUGUCGU
rnacentral:pre_miRNA from 1 species